rnacentral:rRNA from 1 species
GACGAACGCUGGCGGCGUGCUUAACACAUGCAAGUCGUACGGUAAGGCCCUUUCGGGGGUACACGAGUGGCGAACGGGUGAGUAACACGUGAGUAACCUGCCCACAACUUUGGGAUAACGCUAGGAAACUGGUGCUAAUACUGGAUAUGUGCUCCUGCUGCAUGGUGGGGGUUGGAAAGCUCCGGCGGUUGUGGAUGGACUCGCGGCCUAUCAGCUUGUUGGUGGGGUAGUGGCCUACCAAGGCGGCAACGGGUAGCCGGCCUGAGAGGGUGACCGGCCACAUUGGGACUGAGAUACGGCCCAGACUCCUACGGGAGGCAGCAGUGGGGAAUAUUGCACAAUGGGCGCAAGCCUGAUGCAGCAACGCCGCGUGCGGGAUGACGGCCUUCGGGUUGUAAACCGCUUUCAGCAGGGACGAAGCUUUUUGUGACGGUACCUGCAGAAGAAGCACCGGCUAACUACGUG